rnacentral:rRNA from 1 species
CAGCCGCCACGGUAAUACGAAGGGUGCAAGCGUUAAUCGGAAUUACUGGGCGUAAAGCGUGCGUAGGCGGUGAGUUAAGUCUGCUGUGAAAUCCCCGGGCUCAACCUGGGAAUGGCAGUGGAUACUGGCUCGCUAGAGUGUGUCAGAGGAUGGUGGAAUUCCCGGUGUAGCGGUGAAAUGCGUAGAGAUCGGGAGGAACAUCAGUGGCGAAGGCGGCCAUCUGGGACAACACUGACGCUGAGGCAUGAAAGCGUGGGGAGCAAACAGGAUUAGAUACCCCCGUAGUCCCUGUCUCUUAUAC